rnacentral:lncRNA from 1 species
CAAAAGUCAAAACAUAAAUAAAAGAGACUAAAAAUUGUUCACGACAAACUGAAAGGCCAAUCAGACCCUAUUCCUUACAAAAAGUCUAGAUAAUGCAGGUACAGAGUUUUUUUUAAAACGUUUUCCACGUCGGCAUCGAUUUCAGGCCCUCGGGGCUCAGCUACAUGCUCUCCAAUUGUAGCGGCUGGGACCUCGGUGGUCGGAGUCAGCUCUGCCUCGCCUUGGUUCGCAGCCUCCUGCUCCUCUUCCUCCUUACCCACUAGGUCCUCCAGGCUGAAUACAAACUCAGGGUAGCGCUUCUGAAUCUUCUCUAACAGAUCCAGACAACCCGAGAGUCGUUUCUCACCCGCCAGACCUGCCCCAUCAGCUAACUCGAGAAAGCUCUUCACGUCCUCCACUUGUGGCUGACAAGCAUUCUCCAAUGCUUUCUGUAGCCGGACGUUCUCAUCCUUCAGCCGAGCACCCUUUUCCCUCAGCCGCUCCGCUUUCUUCACCUAGGCUGACCCCAGAGCUAGCACAGCUUCGACCUCCUUCAUGCUACUCUCCUCUGCAACCUUCAUGGCACGGUCAACCACUGCCUUCGUCUCGGCGUUACAUUUCCCGGCCUCCUUCUCACGAUGGAUCAUGAAGCACUAGACCAUCCCGUAAUGCAAAAAUAAAGCCUACACCAACACAAGGAAGAGUGAGAAACAACGGGGGGACGACCGCUCCUUCCUCAUUCCUCAGCCUCUUCGCCACAGUUGGCUCCCCCUCCUAAGCCAUCAGCCUCUUCCCAUGAUCCUGGUCCCAUGUCGAACAGGCUUUCGGACCUCAACCUGCCCCACCGGCAUGACAAGGGCCACAGCCUCGUUCCUAGCAUAAGUCUGGGGCGGCACUCUUUGCCCAGAGACCAACGAGCCGGCACCCUUUUUCAGAAGCCUCUCCAACAGUUGCCAAGCUUUCGGGUCAUUCCUGUCAACACCCAUUACUACACAAAACAAAGUGUUAGUCCAGCACAGGGAGACAAGCAAAAACCUUGGCACGACACCGAGAAAGCCUUACCUUCUAGGAUCGGGUCCAGGAAGCCAGACUCUCUCAGAGAACUGCUCGACAAUACCUCGGCCGUGUCGCAUGCACUAGGUGGCAGAGCACGGAUCACCUCAAGUUGUCCCUCCUCAUCCUCGGACAACUCCUCGCUCUCCCAAUCCACUGCCAUUUCAAAGAGAAGCUGUUAGUCCAAACCAAACUCUGGGCACCCCAAAAAAGAAAAAAAAAAAAAAAAAACACAAUAGAAAACGACAAGUUUUGCACAUGGAGCCGACCGCUGUAAAAAGUAACCCCACCUUUCUCCUAAAACGCCUUGCCACUAGAGCCAUCGGCCUCUCCCCC